UAAGAAUCCGCAAGCGAUGGUGCCCUUUUAGGGCAUAAUAGGGAAUCCGGUUCAACGCCGGAGCUGUCCCCGCAACUGUAAGUGUGUACGAAAUGAGCAUCCACUGUAUAUGAACGCUGAAUAGGCGCAUAUAUGGGAAGGGCUCAGAGUAGGAUGAAGCACAAGCCAGGAGACCUGCCAUGCUUGUACGAGUUUCG
rnacentral:ncRNA from 17 species